GUGAGGAAUUUUCCGCAAUGGGCGAAAGUCUGACGGAGCAAUGCCGCGUGAAGGAUGAAGGCCUAUGGGUUGUAAACUUCUUUUCUUAGAGAAGAAUAUUGACGGUAUCUGAGGAAUAAGCAUCGGCUAACUCUGUGCCAGCAGCCGCGGUAAGACAGAGGAUGCAAGCGUUAUCCGGAAUGAUUGGGCGUAAAGCGUCUGUAGGUGGCUUCAAAAGUCUCCUGUCAAAGAUCAGGGCUUAACCCUGGGCCGGCAGGAGAAACUCUGAGGCUAGAGUUUGGUAGGGGCAGAUGGAAUGCCCGGUGGAGCGGUGAAAUGCGUAGAGAUCGGGAGGAACACCAAAGGCGAAAGCACUCUGCUGGGCCACAACUGACACUGAGAGACGAAAGCGAGGGGAGCAAAAGGGAUUAGAUACCCCGGUAGUCC
rnacentral:rRNA from 1 species